GGGGAAUAUUGGACAAUGGGCGCAAGCCUGAUCCAGCCAUGCCGCGUGAGUGAUGAAGGUCUUAGGAUUGUAAAAUUCUUUCACCGGGGACGAUAAUGACGGUGCCCGGAGAAGAAGCCCCGGCUAACUUCGUGCCAGCAGCCGCGGUAAUACGAAGGGGGCUAGCGUUGCUCGGAAUUACUGGGCGUAAAGGGAGCGUAGGCGGAUAGUUUAGUCAGAGGUGAAAGCCCAGGGCUCAACCUUGGAAUUGCCUUUGAUACUGGCUAUCUUGAGUAUGGGAGAGGUAUGUGGAACUCCGAGUGUAGAGGUGAAAUUCGUAGAUAUUCGGAAGAACACCAGUGGCGAAGGCGACAUACUGGCCCAUUACUGACGCUGAGGCUCGAAAGCGUGGGGAGCAAA
rnacentral:rRNA from 1 species